rnacentral:lncRNA from 1 species
GACACCCCAUGUUUGCCGAGGGCUCUGGUGCUGAGCUGUGUCUUCUCUGAGGACAGUGCUGCUGACAAACAGGUUGGGUGCUGGGAAAGUCCUGUCUGAGUCGAGCCUGGCAGUCAGGUACACCGCCUCCAUGUUUCCCGAGCUUGAAGAAUGAACUCUAAGGAACAACGAAGGUUAAGAGGAGGAAAAGGUACUGGGGAGAAGGAACAGGGACUAGGAAUGAGGUGUAAGAAUCGCUCCUGAGAGGCAGGAGGGUCCGGAUGGGGUUGCCCUUACUUCUGUUUAUGUCUCUCAUUCCCUACCCUUUGCCUUCCUCCCUGCUCCAUCCAACUCUUCAUCCCAGUCUCAUUUGCAAAAGUCCUAUUUUCCUGGUUUUUUCCUCAAAGACAUAACAUUACAGUGUUGUGUGCACACCCAUGUUUAUAGCAACGCAAUUCAUAGUAGCUACACCUUGGAAGCAGCCUCUAUGUCCAUCAACAGGUGACUUGAUAAAGAAAGUGUGGAACUUACACACAGUGGAAAAAAAAAAAAAAAAAAACUUACACACAGUGGAACACCGCUCUGCCAAUAUUGUGUUUCUUGAAUGCCUUGACCUACUACAGUCAAAUGAAAAGCAUUGGCCAGUGUUACCAAAGUUGUUUAAAUAAAAAUUUUAUGUAAGUGCAUGUGAGAAAUACAUGUGUCAAAAUCCCCAUCACACAGGUCAGAAAAUGUGCGAGUUAACUGUGGCUCUUCCAUUAGCUUUUAGUUCAGUUCCGGCCACAUUAACCCAUCCUCUGGGGCUCAGCACCCUUAUUUGCAUGACAAGGAUGUUGCACUAUGACACUUCCAUGGCCCAUGGAAGCCUUGUCGAAGAAGCCCCGGUCUGUGAAGACAGCAGAGAGAAGAGAACAGAGUGAAUGCUGAGCCUGAAAUGGAUUCUAGCAGUGCUCUCGGUUCCCAGGGCUCUCGGUCCUCCAAGGCGGGUGCCUGCUCCAUGCAGCCUGGCUGGAGUCUGCACGUAGGGAGUGGAAGCCAGAAGCCCUUCUUGGACGUCUGCACCUCUUUCUCCUGGACCAUUUCCACUGCACUGGGGAAACUUCCACAGAACGGAGCACUGGUUCCUCUGUUCUAUUUCAGAAGCCAUGGCUUAUACUCUGCCCUCCAUGGAGCAGCUGGUUCUUUCUCAAGAGUCCUAAAGUGGAAGGAUUUAGCAUCAAAAUUCUAACCAAAACAGCACGUCAUUUCAGCAGCAGGAAGAAAAGCCUUGGAACAAUACCUAUAAAAUAAUUCUGAUUCUGUCAAAAUAAAAAUGUCCCCAGUUCUCUGUAUGCGAGUAUAUGAUUUUUGCAAA